rnacentral:rRNA from 3 species
AUAUCAAUAAGCGGAGGAAAAGAAACCAACCGGGAUUGCCUCAGUAACGGCGAGUGAAGCGGCAAGAGCUCAAAUUUGAAAGCUGGCUCCUUCGGGGUCCGCAUUGUAAUUUGCAGAGGAUGCUUCGGGUGCGGCCCCUGUCUAAGUGCCCUGGAACGGGCCGUCAGAGAGGGUGAGAAUCCCGUCUGGGAUGGGGUGUCCGCGCCCGUGUGAAGCUCCUUCGACGAGUCGAGUUGUUUGGGAAUGCAGCUCUAAAUGGGUGGUAAAUUUCAUCUAAAGCUAAAUACUGGCCGGAGACCGAUAGCGCACAAGUAGAGUGAUCGAAAGAUGAAAAGCACUUUGAAAAGAGAGUUAAAAAGCACGUGAAAUUGUUGAAAGGGAAGCGCUUGCGACCAGACUCGCCUCCAGGGUUCAGCCGGCAUUCGUGCCGGUGUACUUCCCUGGGGGCGGGCCAGCGUCGGUUUGGGCGGCCGGUCAAAGGCUCCCGGAAUGUAGUGCCCUCCGGGGCACCUUAUAGCCGGGAGUGCAAUGCGGCCAGCCUGGACCGAGGAACGCGCUUCGGCACGGACGCUGGCAUAAUGGUCGUAAACGAC